rnacentral:rRNA from 1 species
GUGAGGUAACGGCUCACCAAGGCAUCGACGGGUAGCUGGUCUGAGAGGAUGAUCAGCCACACUGGGACUGAGACACGGCCCAGACUCCUACGGGAGGCAGCAGUGGGGAAUAUUGCACAAUGGGCGCAAGCCUGAUGCAGCAACGCCGCGUGCGGGAAGAAGGCCCUAGGGUUGUAAACCACUUUCAGCAGGGAAGAAACUGACGGUACCUGCAGAAGAAGGUGCGGCCAACUACGUGCCAGCAGCCGCGGUGACACGUAGGCACCAAGCGUUGUCCGGAUUUAUUGGGCGUAAAGAGCUCGUAGGCGGUUCAGUAAGUCGGGUGUGAAAACUCUGGGCUCAACCCAGAGACGCCACCCGAUACUGCUGUGACUUGAGUACGGUAGGGGAGCGGGGAAUUCCUGGUGUAGCGGUGAAAUGCGCAGAUAUCAGGAGGAACACCAGUGGCGAAGGCGCCGCUCUGGGCCGUAACUGACGCUGAGGAGCGAAAGCGUGGGUAGCAAACAGGAUUAGAUACCCUGGUAGUCCACGCCGUAAACGUUGGGCACUAGGUGUGGGUCUCAACCAACGAGAUCCGCGCCGUCGCUAACGCAUUAAGUG